GAGGGAGGGAAGAAGCUGGGUUCAAGGGAAAGGAAUGGUAGGAUGGGGCCAGCAGGACACACAGGAGGGUUUACGCUCCUCUGGCCUGGGGAGUUGUUGAUUUAAAGUAUUCCAAGGAUACCCCAAGAACAUGUACAUCAUGAGAACUUGCCUCUGGGGUUGUCAUCUCCAUCUGCUAUAAUGUAUCUCCCUUGAUUUCAUCUCCAUGUGAACCAUCUAUGGUCUGCAAUCUCCUGCCUCCUUACAUAGCUUGCAGAUAAUCCGCAUUCUCAGUUAUCCGAGUGGUGUCAUCAGCGUAGCACAAGUUAUUGAUGUUUCUUCCUCCAACUUUAAAACCACACUCAUCUUCUUCCAAUCCAGCUUCUCUCCGUAUAUGUUCCGCAUAUACGUUGAAUAAAGAUGUCUGAAGCUGGUGCGCUUUCCUCAAGUGGACACCCCAGAAAUUGAGCCGGAGGAUCCGUGGACGUGGUGAAACCUGCAGAUAUCCACCAACUCCUAGGACUUGGUUUCUGGGCCCCUCACCAUCUUUGUUGUCUUUCAAACCCAUCCCAAGAUAUGGAGAAGAACUUCAGAACCCUUUUUUGAUGUCCCCCUCUCUGUCAUGGAAGACAGAGGCGAGCAUGCAGAUGAAGCCUGACUGACACCAGGUUGGAGGAGACGAUUCGGCAGCAGUGGAGCCAAGCGAUUCCUAUACAGACAGGAGCGGGUCAUGCAGUGGCUGCGGAGACAAGGCAAGUUCUCUUGCACGGAAGGCUGGAGGCGAGCCUGCGCAUGAAGCCUGCUGAUGCCAGUGGCUUGAAGCUGAUGGACGCCAGCCGAGCGGACCCGGCGGAAGCUGGUGGAUGUUGGGGAGAUGUCUGAAGCUGGUGUGCUUUCCUCAAGUGGACACCCUAGAAAUUGAGCCGGAGGAUCGGUGGAUGUGGUGAAACCAACUCCCAGGACUUGGUUUCUGGGCCCCACACCAUCUUUGUUGUCUUUUGAACCCAUCCCAAGGUAUGGAGGAGAACUUCAGAACCCAUUUUGAUGUCCCGCUCUCUGUCAUGGUUUGUAUGUUUGCUAGGAGGGCAGAGAGAGUUCCAUGGUGUGUAGGAGAUCUUCAGAAGCAGUUUUCCUCCCAAUUUAUGAUUGUAUAACCACUUUAUCUAUUAUUUGUAUGUUUUCUAAACAAUAAAGUCUCCUCUUGCGAAUUA